UACGGAGGGUGCAAGCGUUAUCCGGAAUCACUGGGUUUAAAGGGUGCGUAGGUGGGCAGGUAAGUCAGUGGUGAAAUCCCCGUGCUUAACUUGGUAACUGCCGUUGAUACUAUCUGACUUGAAUACUGUGGAGGUAAGCGGAAUUUGUCAUGUAGCGGUGAAAUGCUUAGAAAUGAGAUAGAACACCAAUUGCGAAGGCGCCUUGCUACACAGUAAUUGACACUGAGGAACGAAAGCGUGUGGAGCAAACAGG
rnacentral:rRNA from 1 species